rnacentral:snRNA from 1 species
AGCUUUGUGCAGUGGCAGUAUCAUAGCCAAUGAGGUUUAUCCAAGGUGUGAUUAUUGCUAAUUGAAAACUUUUCCCAGUUGCCCGCCAUAACGACUUGAAAUAUAGUCAGCAUUGGCAAUUUUUGACAGUCUCUAUGGAAA